rnacentral:sRNA from 1 species
UAUCGGUGUCACGGAUGCAUUGACAGAUUUACAGGUGUAAACAUACCUAGACACACACACACACAGACACAAAGGCGUAAUAUGUUUUCACCUUUAAGACCGAGUGUUGAGUCUUUACUGCGAUCAAAGAAAAGGUCUAUUUUGUAAAAAAUUAUCCAGUUAUUAAAACUGGAAAUAAAGAGAUAUAUUCUUCACUUGUAAAUUGAGAACUUUAAUACAAGGAUAUUUUUAGACUUGGAUUACUGUGGGGUUAAGACUUCUGCUGUCAUUCAAGCGUGUGUCGUCUGCUGAAACUGGAAGAACAAGAGCGAUCUAGAAAGUGAGAGAAAA